CGUGAGAAUCUGCCCUUAGGAGGAGGAUAACAGCUGGAAACGGUUGCUAAUACUCCAUAUGCCGAGAGGUGAAAGGAUUUAUCCACCUAAGGAGGAGCUCGCGUCUGAUUAGCUAGUUGGUAGGGUAAUAGCCUACCAAGGCGACGAUCAGUAGCUGGUUUGAGAGGAUGAUCAGCCACACUGGGACUGAGACACGGCCCAGACUCCUACGGGAGGCAGCAGUAGGGAAUUUUCCGCAAUGGGCGAAAGCCUGACGGAGCAAUACCGCGUGAGGGAUGACGGCCUGUGGGUUGUAAACCUCUUUUCUCAAGGAAGAAGUUCUGACGGUACUUGAGGAAUAAGCAUCGGCUAACUCUGUGCCAGCAGCCGCGGUAAUACAGAGGAUGCAAGCGUUAUCCGGAAUCACUGGGCAUAAAGCGUCUGUAGGUGGUUUGGUAAGUCUGCUGUUAAAGACUGGGGCUCAACCCCAGAAAAGCAGUGGAAACUGCUAGACUUGAGUGUGGUAGAGGUA
rnacentral:rRNA from 1 species